rnacentral:lncRNA from 1 species
CUUCAUCUGGUGCAUAGCUUGCAUAGAAAUCCCCUUCAAUGUGGGUUUUCUCUGCUUGUAGCAGUCCCAACAUACAGGAAACGUACAAUUAAAAGCACUCGAAAGGAAGUCAAGCUGGGGAAGAGCCUCCUUGGGUACGCAGAACAAAGUCACAGUGCCCACGGGAAGGCAGUGCCGUGUGAUGAGGAGCUGCGCCAGGGCUGGAGAAAGCCUGAGUCCUGCUGCAUCCCGAAGGAAGCAGAGAUGAUGGGCUUGUGUGACUUCAAGCAUAAGAAACAACUGCUUCUGAAAGGAAAUUUCUUUUGCAAUGCCUCCAAAAGUGACAUCCAUUGAAAAAGUCUCACCUCUCUAAGCAGGCACUGUACAUAUUCAACUGAAGAGAGCCUUACAGAUUUGUUCCUGCUAAGAAGCUAGCGUGACGUUACCACAGUGUUGCUCCGUCAGCGGGCAGUGGCACAUAGCAGGCAUGGACCCAGGCAUGCAGUACAGCCAGCACACAGCCCUGCCGAGAGCCCACCAUGCACAUCUCUGCCUUGCUUCACCACUUUGGCCCAAGCUCCUGAGCCAAUGUCUCUGUCCCACAUUCAGCUCCAAGCAUUCUGAAGUGAUGUCCUCUGAUAUGACAUAUCCCAUCGGUAACUCUUGCAUACCUGAAGAUAUUCCAAUUAUAUAACCACCUCAGGAAACAGAGAGGAAUGAGACCUGGGAUUACAUCUCUGAUGCGAUGAGCUGCAGCACAACCUAGAAGGAUUCAUCCAUUGCCCAACAAAGGUCACCUUCUGCUCACUAGGACAUCAAACCUCACAGCAUCCUCAUACGAUGAGAACCUUUUGCUGGAUCCCCGCUUGGGAGCAAGUUCUUGCUGAUUGAGAAGCUCAUGAGAUACAUCUCAUUUCCCUGGAGGUCCUCAGGGAGGCAGCGGUCAGACAAUCCUUUCCUAGCCUACUUUGGGCAACGCUGGUGGUACAGCACUGCUGGCACUGCAUGUGAGCUGCUGUGCUGGUACUGGGCUCCUUGGGCAGAGCGUGAUUCAGCCUUCAGUAUUACAGCAGUCAUUAUUCCAAAGGAGCCCGCAGUUUGGGACCAAACAGUGAUGGUCACAGAUACUGAAUCAACUGGAUAAAGCACCAGCCAAAUACAUUUCUGUGAAGAGUUUCAAAGUUGGUGUUUCCCACUGGAAAAAAUAUAGCACUUUUCAUCUCAUUCUACUCGACCCAGCAAACCGAGCUGGGCUCCAGGAGCGACACACAUCUGAAAUGUGCUGUGAGGUGCAGCCAUGCUCUCCCUGUCACUCAGGAAGCCCACUGCCGGGGCACAGCUGUGGGACAGGAGCUCAUGCCAGUGCCCAGCUGAUGAAGUGAAGGGACCGUGUGCUGCUGGCUCUGAAGUGAAAACAAUCACUCUGAAAUCUUAGAGCUUCCUCAGAAAUGUAAAAAAAAUGGGGUGGGAGCACAAGUUAAUUGUGCUUUUACACACUGUUAUACUUGUCACCGUGCCAGACUCUACAUUUCUUCCAAGGGUGAAAUGAAAACUCCAAAUUCAUCUGGUUAUGAAACAAUCUCAGUAUGAGCACUCAGUGAAGAAUUAUAAAGUGGGAAAGACACAGUCCUGUGUCUCAGCUGGUUGAGAAGGCUCUGAAUUGAUCAAGGCUUAUUCCAGCGUGGAGGAGUUUUCUGGAGUGUACUGAAACCAUUCUGCAUCUGCAUAUCAAAUGCAUAUAAAGAACCACAGAAAAGCUGAUGUGUUAUGACAUUACUUUGAUUAGGAGAUGAGGCAACUGGCAGAAGGCAUCACUGUAAUUCCAAGAAGUCUCAUUUCUCUGCAUCUAGAAAUUUAGGAAAUGAGUCUGGUUUGUCUGCUUUACACCAGAAUCGACUCAUACAUUGCAAACACGGCGAGAACUCAUUGGCACUAUAGGGUACUCCUGGAGAUAAGAUGGUGGUGAGAGACCUGGAUGAGCAAGGACUGAACACCUCUUUCUCUGCCUACAGUGUAUGGGAACUGUUGAGUCACAGCCUGAACCACUGAUUGAUCACCUGAGGGAAGGAGUGGGUAAGCUGUGGGGACACAGGUAAAGGCAAUUCAGCUAUGUGACUGUAAGGGUUGGAACAAGGUUCCACUCCUCCUAGACCCCAUUUAAGGGCUGACUGCCACUGGGGAAAGAGCUCUUUCUGGAGAUCGCUCCUUUGUGGAGUCUUUCAUUAUGAGCCUGAAUCUUUGGAUACAGGUGAACAUUCCUUCUCUGUCUGUUCCUUUGCCAUCUCGUUAUGAUACUCUUUCCAACUGUACAUUUGUUGACUGUACAUACAGUAAUGCAGCUGAGAUACUCGAAGCUAUUUGUAAGCUUAGCUGGAGACAGCCCUACUCUCUGUUAGUCAUGAGACUAAUGAAGCGCAGUGCGAAUUUAAAAUCAGGCUAACCCUUAUGUUUCUGUCCUCUGUGCUUCCAUGUGCUUCAUUGAGGCUGGAAGUAUAAGGUCAGUCCUGAUUAACAUCACCAUGAAAGGAGAACCAGUCCAAAAUAACAGUCUCAUUGGACAAGUAGUGUUUUAUUUUUAUUUUAUUUUUAUUGUUAUUAGAGAUAAGUCAAAGAGUCAAAGUACCUCAAGGCUAAAUCAAAACUGGAACCAAUCCACAUCAGAAACUUGAGUGUGCCUAAGGCUGGCACAUAGAACUAGUCUUGUAUAUACAUAAAUUCAUACCCUUCAAAAUACUUGGUAGUCUCACUCCUACUUGGGUGCUCAGCUCCCAUUGAUAAUGCCAUGUGUUAAUUCAGGCACCCAGGCUUUCGUGUAAUGUUCUUACUAUGAAGAACAGUUGGCCUUGAGGGAAAACAUUUACACAGAUGACACUAUUUUCAGGAAAAUGAAAAGUACUGGGUGAAAAAGAAAGUUUUGACACUGUGUGAGGUGUAGAGUUUACACACAGUAGUUUUUGUUGCAUGUAUAUGAAUGGGUGAUUGACCAUAUUUAAAUAAAAUAAAUUCACACACCAUUUGUAAGUGUCUAAUUUAUGUAUUUGUAGAGAGAAAUGGAAACCUUGGUUUGAAAAGCAGUUUGCGUAACAUCUGGUAUGUCAACAGUGUAACCUUCCAAUUUACUCACUGGUGAAAAUAUCAAUAGAACGAACCUGUAUUCAGC